UCAAGACGUCAUACGGAAAGCGGUCAAGUGUUUGGCUACAUGUACAGAGAACUCACGAACUCGAGCACCCCGCACGUAGACAGAAGUCGGUGUAUCAAAGACGACCUGUAAUGGUAAAUUCUUGCAAUGCCGAAUUAUACGAGGACGAAGAGGAGCAACUUCCGAUGUCGUAGCAUCUCUAAAUGUAGGUCUGUUCGCAAGAAUUCUCUCGGCUGCUUCGGACUUGGUGGAGCGAAUACGUAGAGUAGUAUUUCCUCGAAGAGAAUUUCUGCAAAAGUGAAGACGUGAUCACGUCCGUCAAAGACGGGGAACAAUGCCACAGCUGUUGGAUUAUUUAUUUAUUAAGGUCAGUGGGUGAGGGGAUGAACGAUAUACAUUCUCUUCUCGUUCUUUUUUUUUUCUCUUUCUUUCUUUUUCAACUCUAUUAUUUUUUUUUUGCACGCAACCACAACCGUCGGAAGUUACCACGAGGUCAGCAACAAGGGAUCGCGACAUCUCAUAGUUUUCUUUCUUCUCGUCCUUUUCCGAAUUCAAAAAAUUACCGAACAUUCGACAAUCGAUACCGGUCUUGCGAAUUAAUAACGGAACGUGCACUACCUAAUGUUAUUGGCGAAACAGAUGUAAAGGACAGAGACGUAGUUCGUUGCUUCGCAUUUCGUCCCUGUAUUAUCCCGAGUUGAAUUACCCCGUGUCUCCCGCGCCCCUGAAAUAUCUGGACUUUCGUCCGUAACCGUUAAAUAACCGUUGAAGCGAAAGAGUGGCAAUUUCCGGCCUCCCCGACAACCUCGACAACGUUCAACGCGAACGACCGACCACCGGACUUCGUCCCCGUCCGCUCCUUUUUUCCCUCCUUCGUUCUUCGACCGGGAACAACGCUGCCACUCCCCCGCGAAAAAUGUUAAUUGAAACCGUCGAGUCCAACAGCUUAUUUCUCGAAUCUCCUCGCGUCGUUCGCGUUUUCUCCCUUUUUCAUUUCAUUUCUAAACUCGGGAAUGUACGACGUAAUUUAUUUAUACUUUUUCGUUGAUUUUUGCUUUCUAUUUUCAUAUCUAAUGCUUCGCCGCCCGGAUUCUACCCCCUUGGCAAGACGCCGAGUAACGAGAUAUUGACGAGCGCUGUCUACCUCAGGGCGUCGGAGUCGAGAGCUAUAGAUCGAGUUCAGCGACCCGUAACACCUGACACGUGACCUUUCGUUAACAGUUCACGCAUCCCCGGCGCAGCGUCUGGAUGCGGCUACGUGGAGCUCAGUCUGCACGGG